GCUCCUAGAAACACCUCAGCAUCCAUCAGUCCAUCAGGUUUGGUGUCAGCAGGUAGCUGGGUGGAGCUGAACUGCUCCAGCAGAGCCAAGCCUCCUGCCAGCUUCACCUGGUUCAGGAACAGCAAACAUGGAGCCAUUAAUGUAUCUGUGGGGCAGGUUUACAGCUUCAGUGUUACUGAGGGAGGAGAGUUUUACUGUGUGGCUACAAAUGAUCUGGGUCAUCAGAGAUCAUCAGAGAUCCUUCUCAGUAUUGAAGGGCAUCAAGUGUUUGGACUCUAUGUUACAGCAAAGAUCCUGGGAAUUAUAGUGCUUUGCAGUACAGUGCUGGUUUAGAUUCUCCAACAAACAAAAGAAGGUAACCUAGAUGAUCUCCCCAACAUUCAAAUCAUUUCAACAUAUUAUUUGAAAGUAGAUGCA